rnacentral:rRNA from 1 species
CGCUGGCGGCAGGCUUAACACAUGCAAGUCGAGCGGGGAAGUGUAGCUUGCUACAUUAGGUAGCGGCGGACGGGUGAGUAAUGCUUAGGAAUCUGCCUAUUAGUGGGGGACAACAUUCCGAAAGGAAUGCUAAUACCGCAUACGUCCUACGGGAGAAAGCAGGGGAUCUUCGGACCUUGCGCUAAUAGAUGAGCCUAAGUCGGAUUAGCUAGUUGGUGGGGUAAAGGCCUACCAAGGCGACGAUCUGUAGCGGGUCUGAGAGGAUGAUCCGCCACACUGGGACUGAGACACGGCCCAGACUCCUACGGGAGGCAGCAGUGGGGAAUAUUGGACAAUGGGCGGAAGCCUGAUCCAGCCAUGCCGCGUGUGUGAAGAAGGCCUUUUGGUUGUAAAGCACUUUAAGCGAGGAGGAGGCUACUCUAGUUAAUACCUAGAGAUAGUGGACGUUACUCGCAGAAUAAGCACCGGCUAACUCUGUGCCAGCAGCCGCGGUAAUACAGAGGGUGCGAGCGUUAAUCGGAUUUACUGGGCGUAAAGCGUGCGUAGGCGGCUGAUUAAGUCGGAUGUGAAAUCCCUGAGCUUAACUUAGGAAUUGCAUUCGAUACUGGUCAGCUAGAGUAUGGGAGAGGAUGGUAGAAUUCCAGGUGUAGCGGUGAAAUGCGUAGAGAUCUGGAGGAAUACCGAUGGCGAAGGCAGCCAUCUGGCCUAAUACUGACGCUGAGGUACGAAAGCAUGGGGAGCAAACAGGAUUAGAUACCCUGGUAGUCCAUGCCGUAAACGAUGUCUACUAGCCGUUGGGGGCUUUGAGGCUUUAGUGGCGCAGCUAACGCGAUAAGUAGACCGCCUGGGGAGUACGGUCGCAAGACUAAAACUCAAAUGAAUUGACGGGGGCCCGCACAAGCGGUGGAGCAUGUGGUUUAAUUCGAUGCAACGCGAAG